UACGUAGGUGACAAGCGUUGUCCGGAUUUACUGGGCGUAAAGAGCGCGCAGGCGGUCGUUCAAGUCGAGUGUGAAAGCCCCCGGCUCAACUGGGGAGGGUCACUCGAUACUGAUCGACUCGAAGGCAGGAGAGGGAAGUGGAAUUCCCGGUGUAGUGGUGAAAUGCGUAGAUAUCGUAAGGAAGACCAGUGGCGAAGGCGGGUCUCUGGACAGUUCCUGACGCUGAGGCACGAAGGUCAGGGGAGCAAACGGG
rnacentral:rRNA from 1 species